rnacentral:rRNA from 1 species
UUCGGGGUCGAGUUGUAUUUGUAGAGGACGUUUCGGGAGCGGCGCCGGUCUAAGUCCCUUGGAACAGGGCGUCACAGAGGGUGAGAAUCCCGUAUGUGACCGGUGGCCAACCCCAUGUGAAACCCCUUCGACGAGUCGAGUUGUUUGGGAAUGCAGCUCAAAAUGGGUGGUAAAUUUCAUCUAAAGCUAAAUACCGGCCAGAGACCGAUAGCGCACAAGUAGAGUGAUCGAAAGAUGAAAAGCACUUUGGAAAGAGAGUCAAACAGUACGUGAAAUUGUUGAAAGGGAAGCGCUGGCAACCAGACCUGUCCGCGGGCUUCAGCCCUCGUUCUCGAGGGUGUACUUGUCCGCGAUCAGGCCAGCAUCGGUUCGGGCGGUUGGAUAAAGGCCUUGGGAAUGUAGCUUCCCCCGGGAAGUCUUAUAGCCCUCGGCGCAAUGCGGCCAGCCCGGACCGAGGACCGCGCUCGGC